rnacentral:lncRNA from 1 species
AGACUCCUUCUCAAAAAAUAAAAAAUAAAAAAAUUAUAAUAAUGAUAAAAGCCAAAAAAAAAAUUGAAAACUCCAAGAAGAGCAAAAAGAAACCCAAAAGUUCAUUCCACAGAGAUAAUCACUGUUAAUAUUUUGGUGUAUCUUCUUCAACCUUUUAAAAUAAUGCUAAUUUAUAUCUGCAAGAAACAGGGUGUUUGAUUUAAAAGAAUACAAUGGUGCCCUGUGAUUGUUUGGCUGCAUCUAGGAGAUAAUGUGUCCUUUAGCAUUGGGGAUUAGGAUUAACUUUCUCAAAUCCUCAGAGGGUCAGUUUUAUGAGGCUAAGAUAAAGCAAGGCUCCUAGUCCAGCGGGCUCCAGUAGUGUCUAAAAUCCAGGACCUUUGGUUUUAAGCACUUAUUUCACUUAUGUGCAUGAAAAGAAGGAGGAAGUUCAGGUGAAGCUGCCCAGGAGUAGAGAAAGACUGCAUGUGAAUUCAUGUGAUCAGAAAGCAAACAGGCAGAUACUGAACCAGCCGUCCCAUGGUAAACAUCUAGAAAACUAGACAAAGUACAUGAAACGACUGUGUUCACACAUCUCAGAUAUUUCCUGAGAGAAGUGAAACAAAUGAGGCGAUCCCUACAUUGCCGCAGCUUUUUGCCUAGAAGCACAUUCCAGACUACUACCUGGAGACGGGAAGCCAAGCAGAACACAGAAGUCUUGCUGAGUUGAGGAGACAGAGACCCAAGGUGGUUGGAAUUUGCCAGGCAGAUUACCAGGGAGGAGAGAACUGCACAAAGACCUCUAGACACUUGACAAAAGUACUUGUCUAAAGUAUUUGGUUGAAUACUAGGCUACACAUGCCCAUGGUAAGGCUCCAUGAGUCUGGAUAAAUAGCAACAAUGGGAAAUAACAAAUACUGGUGAGCUAUAAACUGAGCGCUUCCAGAAGCCUAUACGUAGUUGGAAGUUUUUUGAGCUCUAGCCAGCUAGCCAGCUAGAAUAAAUUAUUUAUUUAUAAUAAUAAACUAUUUAUUAUUAAAUAUAAUAAACUAUUGUAGCCAGCUAAAAUAAAUAGUUCAGUGGGGUCUCACUGAACACCUGGGACAUUUAGUAGAGACCCCAGAAAACCUAGGCCUUAGGAGUAAGACUUAACUAGCUCUAGAGAGAAGGUUUCUCUAGGCCUGCUCUCACAAAGCUUGAAAACAAGCCCCAAAAGGAUCAUGAUGAUCAUUAAGAAACUUAAACUACCUCACUAAAAUAAAAAGGACAGUCUCUCAACACCAUAACCCUUAUAAUGUUCAGCAUCCACUAAAAAGUUUUUUUUUUUUAGGCGGAGUCUUGCUCUGUCACCCAGGCUGGAGUGCAGUGGCGUGAUCUCUGCUCACUGCAAGCUCCGCCUCCCGGGUUCAUGCCAUUCUCCUGUCUCAGCCUCCCUAGCAGCUGGGACUACGGGCGCCCACCACCAUGCCCGGCUAAUUUUUUGUAUUUU